AACUCCGUUUACAAAAAUUUCACG
rnacentral:snRNA from 1 species